GUUCUACCAUAUGUGUGCAUUUUCAAGUUAGAAUACAGAAAGAAAAAUAAUUUAGGCAAUGACAAAGACUGUUUGAAGGUAUGCGGUAGGCCUCGUCAAGUACUUUGCAGGUAAGAGAUUCUGUUAUAUGGCUCAGAUUAAUACAUUGAUUCUUUGUCCCAGAGAGCAUAUUCUGGGCUUUUUGUGUUUAUAAUGAACAAAGGUGGAGAUUUUCCUAUCAGUAGAAUUUGUUGAUCUUCUCCUGAGCGUUGCUGAGCCGAUCUAUGCGGUUCUGCAGCUCCGCCCUCUGGCGGCUGACCUCCGAU